UACGUAGGGGGCUAGCGUUGUCCGGAUUUAUUGGGCGUAAAGAGCGUGUAGGCGGCCAGGUAGGUCUGGUGUGAAAACUCGAGGCUUAACCUCGAGAUGUCAUCGGAAACCAUCUGGCUAGAGUCCGGAAGAGGAGAGUGGAAUUCCUGGUGUAGCGGUGAAAUGCGCAGAUAUCAGGAAGAACACCGAUGGCGAAGGCAACCCCCUGGGCUGACACUGACGCUCAGGCACGAAAGCGUGGGGAGCAAACAGG
rnacentral:rRNA from 1 species